UACAGAGGCCACGAGCGUUAGGCGGAAUCACUGGGCUUAAAGCGUGUGUAGGUGGAUGGCUAAGUACCUUGUGAAAUCCCACGGCUCAACCGUGGAACGGCCUCGGAUACGGGCGGCCUCGAGGGGGGUAGGGGCAUCUGGAACUGUGAGUGGAGCGGUGAAAUGCGUUGAUAUUCACAGGAACUCCGGUGGCGAAGGCGAGGUGCUGGACCCCAUCUGACGCUGAGGCGCGAAAGCGUGGGGAGCAAACAGG
rnacentral:rRNA from 1 species